rnacentral:rRNA from 1 species
CCUGAGUACGACGGAGCACGUGAAAUUCCGUCGGAAUCUGGGAGGACCAUCUCCUAAGGCUAAAUACUCUCUAGUGACCGAUAGUGAACCAGUACCGUGAGGGAAAGGUGAAAAGUACCCCGGAAGGGGAGUGAAAGAGAACUUGAAACCGUGUGCUUACAAGUAGUCAGAGCCCGUUAAUGGGUGAUGGCGUGCCUUUUGUAGAAUGAACCGGCGAGUUACGAUCUGAUGCAAGGUUAAGCAGAAAAUGUGGAGCCGUAGCGAAAGCGAGUCUGAAUAGGGCGAAUGAGUAUUUGGUCGUAGACCCGAAACCAGGUGAUCUACCCUUGGUCAGGUUGAAGUUCAGGUAACACUGAAUGGAGGACCGAACCGACUUACGUUGAAAAGUGAGCGGAUGAACUGAGGGUAGCGGAGAAAUUCCAAUCGAACUUGGAGAUAGCUGGUUCUCUCCGAAAUAGCUUUAGGGCUAGCCUCAAGUGAUGAUUAUUGGAGGUAGAGCACUGUUUGGACGAGGGGCCCCUCUCGGGUUACCGAAUUCAGACAAACUCCGAAUGCCAAAUAAUUUAACUUGGGAGUCAGAAUGUGGGUGAUAAGGUCCAUAUUCGAAAGGGAAACAGCCCAGACCACCAGCUAAGGUCCCAAAAUAUAUGUUAAGUGGAAAAGGAUGUGGCGUUGCCCAGACAACUAGGAUGUUGGCUUAGAAGCAGCCAUCAUUUAAAGAGUGCGUAAUAGCUCACUAGUCGAGUGACACUGCGCCGAAAAUGUACCGGGGCUAAACAUAUUACCGAAGCUGUGGAUUGUCCUUUGGACAAUGGUAGGAGAGCGUUCUAAGGGCGUUGAAGCAUGAUCGCAAGGACAUGUGGAGCGCUUAGAAGUGAGAAUGCCGGUGUGAGUAGCGAAAGACGGGUGAGAAUCCCGUCCACCGAUUGACUAAGGUUUCCAGAGGAAGGCUCGUCCGCUCUGGGUUAGUCGGGUCCUAAGCUGAGGCCGACAGGCGUAGGCGAUGGAUAACAGGUUGAUAUUCCUGUACCACCAUUAUUCGUUUUAAGCGAUGGGGGGACGCAGUAGGAUAGGCGAAGCGUGCUGUUGGAGUGCACGUCCAAGCAGUGAGAUUGAGUGUUAGGCAAAUCCGGCACUCUUAAGAUUGAGCUGUGAUGGGGAGAGGAACUUGUUCCUCGAGUCGUUGAUUUCACACUGCCGAGAAAAGCCUCUAGCUAGAAUAACGGUGCCCGUACCGCAAACCGACACAGGUAGUCAAGAUGAGAAUUCUAAGGUGAGCGAGCGAACUCUCGUUAAGGAACUCGGCAAAAUGACCCCGUAACUUCGGGAGAAGGGGUGCUCUUUGAGGUUCACGCUUCGAAGAGCCGCAGUGAAUAGGCCCAAGCGACUGUUUAUCAAAAACACAGGUCUCUGCUAAACCGUAAGGUGACGUAUAGGGGCUGACGCCUGCCCGGUGCUGGAAGGUUAAGAGGAGUGGUUAGCGCAAGCGAAGCUACGAAUCGAAGCCCCAGUAAACGGCGGCCGUAACUAUAACGGUCCUAAGGUAGCGAAAUUCCUUGUCGGGUAAGUUCCGACCCGCACGAAAGGCGUAACGAUUUGGGCACUGUCUCAACGAGAGACUCGGUGAAAUCAUAGUACCGGUGAAGAUGCCGGUUACCCGCGACAGGACGGAAAGACCCCGUGGAGCUUUACUGUAGCCUGAUAUUGAAAUUCGGUACAGUUUGUACAGGAUAGGUAGGAGCCUUAGAAGCGUGAGCGCUAGCUUACGUGGAGGCAUUGGUGGGAUACUACCCUAAUUGUAUUGGAUUUCUAACCCGCAGCACUUAUCGUGCUGGGAGACAGUGUCAGGCGGGCAGUUUGACUGGGGCGGUCGCCUCCUAAAGAGUAACGGAGGCGCUCAAAGGUUCCCUCAGAAUGGUUGGAAAUCAUUCAUAGAGUGUAAAGGCAUAAGGGAGCUUGACUGCGAGACCUACAAGUCGAGCAGGGUCGAAAGACGGACUUAGUGAUCCGGUGGUUCCGCAUGGAAGGGCCAUCGCUCAACGGAUAAAAGCUACCCCGGGGAUAACAGGCUUAUCUCCCCCAAGAGUUCACAUCGACGGGGAGGUUUGGCACCUCGAUGUCGGCUCAUCGCAUCCUGGGGCUGUAGUCGGUCCCAAGGGUUGGGCUGUUCGCCCAUUAAAGCGGUACGCGAGCUGGGUUCAGAACGUCGUGAGACAGUUCGGUCCCUAUCCGUCGUGGGCGUAGGAAAUUUGAGAGGAGCUGUCCUUAGUACGAGAGGACCGGGAUGGACAUACCUCUGGUGUACCAGUUGUCGUGCCAACGGCAUAGCUGGGUAGCUAUGUAUGGACGGGAUAAGUGCUGAAAGCA